rnacentral:rRNA from 1 species
GCUCCAGACUCCUACGGGAGGCAGCAGUGGGGGAUAUUGCACAAUGGGCGCAAGCCUGAUGCAGCGACGCCGCGUGAGCGAAGAAGUAUCUCGGUAUGUAAAGCUCUAUCAGCAGGGAAGAAAAUGACGGUACCUGAAGAAGAAGCCCCGGCUAACUACGUGCCAGCAGCCGCGGUAAUACGUAGGGGGCAAGCGUUAUCCGGAUUUACUGGGUGUAAAGGGGGCGCAGACGGCGAUGCAAGCCAGGAGUGAAAGCCCGGGGCCCAACCCCGGGACUGCUCUUGGAACUGCGUGGCUGGAGUGCAGGAGGGGCAGGCGGAAUUCCUGGUGUAGCGGUGAAAUGCGUAGAUAUCAGGAGGAACACCGGUGGCGAAGGCGGCCUGCUGGACUGCAACUGACGUUGAGGCCCGAAAGCGUGGGGAGCAAACAGGAUUAGAUACCCCCGUA